UACGUAGGUGGCAAGGCGUUGUCCGGAUUUACUGGGCGUAAAGAGCGCGCAGGCGGCUGAUUAAGUCGAAUGUGAAAGCCCCCGGCUCAACUGGGGAGGGUCAUUCGAUACUGAUCAACUUGAAGGCAGGAGAGGGUAGUGGAAUUCCCGGUGUAGUGGUGAAAAUGCGUAGAUAUCGUUUGGAACGCCAAUGGUGAAAACAGGUUGCUGGGAGUGUGCUGGACGCUGAGACACGAAAGCCAGGGGAGCAAACGGGG
rnacentral:rRNA from 1 species